rnacentral:lncRNA from 1 species
ACAGACCAGCCUCCUCUUUACCAAGAUCCAGAGGCAUCUUCAGAGAAGGGGCCUGUAACAUGUGGAGGAAACAGGAAGUUGCAGUAAAUAAGACUAUGCAAUGCAACUGUUUCACUAGUUUGUGGACAGAAAUCAAGUUGUGUUUGAAAGAAGGAACAAAUAAGACAUCAUGAAGAGUGAUGAAUGGAUUUAAUGCAAAAGAUCCUGUGCAUGUCACUUUCACUUUAUAUCCAUUAGGAAGAGUUACAACAUAGGGUACAAUUAAAGGUGUGAGG